CUUUCCUCCGGUGAAGACGCUGUUAGAAAGUAUCAAGAUCUGGUUGAAAGCAGUGAGACAGAGAGAAAGUUAAGCUGCUGAUAUUGAGUUUUCAAGAUACCUCCGAUUGGUUUUAUAGAAAGGGAUAGAUCUGAUUCUGACCCUAGCGGUCAGUGGCGAGCCAACCGCAGAACUGAACGGACCAAGAGCCUGGUGUGGCCAGCUGUGGCAUCUUUGGACCUAUGAUCAUCAUCAUUUGCCUCCAUUUUAAAUACAGAUAAGAACACGUAAACCUACCCGGGUAGUGAAGAGAACCAAUACUUCAAGAAACACACACACACACACUGAGAACUUCCAUGGACUCAUUCUUCAUUUGAGUUAUUUAUUUUGAGUUUACUGUGCACUGUGCACUUAGGAAGCCGGCUUAGGUAG